GAGAAAUUAGUUAAAGCAUAACAUUAGUAUGUCAUACUAAAAUUAUUAUCAUUAUUAAUAUUUCUCU
rnacentral:tRNA from 1 species